ACGUAGGGGGCAAGCGUUGUCCGGAAUUAUUGGGCGUAAAGGGCGCGUAGGCGGAUGUUUAAGUCCGGUGUGAAAGAUCAGGGCUCAACCCUGAGAGUGCAUCGGAAACUGGGCAUCUUGAGGACAGGAGAGGAAAGUGGAAUUCCACGUGUAGCGGUGAAAUGCGUAGAUAUGUGGAGGAACACCAGUGGCGAAGGCGACUUUCUGGACUGUAACUGACGCUGAGGCGCGAAAGCGUGGGGAGCAAACAGGAUUAGAUACCCUGGUAGUCCACGCUGUAAACGAUGAGUGCUAGGUGUAGAGGGUAUCGACCCCUUCUGUGCCGCAGUUAACACAAUAAGCACUCCGCCUGGGGAGUACGGCCGCAAGGUUG
rnacentral:rRNA from 1 species